GAUGAAGAACGCAGCAAAAUGCGAUAAGUAAUGUGAAUUGCAGAAUUCAGUGAAUCAUCGAAUCUUUGAACGCACAUUGCGCCUGCCAGAACACUGGCGGGCAUGCCUGUUCGAGCGUCAUUUCAACCCUCAAGCACAGCUUGGUGUUGGGACUCGCGUUAAUUCGCGUUCCUCAAAUUGAUUGGCGGUCACGUCGAGCUUCCAUAGCGUAGUAGUAAAACCCUCGUUACUGGUAAUCGUCGCGGCCACGCCGUUAAACCCCAACUUCUGAAUGUUGACCUCGGAUCAGGUAGGAAUACCCGCUGAACUUAAGCAUAUCAAUAACGGAGGA
rnacentral:misc_RNA from 1 species